AGGUACGGUGGAAUAACUCACUCAGUUGUCAUGAUGUAGCUGGAGUGUGGAUGAUUAGGACCAUCUUUUCGCUUUUUAAAAGAACAUAAGUGUGCUGGAAUAGCUGAUCAUCAUGUAACUAGCUAUUAAUAGUGACAGUGAAUCAGUUACAGGAGGAGGAGGGGGAGGAGCUACUAGUCCUUUGAAGAAACCAAAGAAAGAGAAAAA